ensembl:ncRNA lncRNA:CR44548 long non-coding RNA:CR44548
CAACCAUGUUUCUAGUUUUGUAAUCUACUCAAACAACUAUUUGAAGGAAACACAUAAAUACCGUAUCUAAAACUUAUAGAUAAAUGUGAGUUUGGAUAUACAACGUAUCAAUUUCAUCGUUAGUUUAAUUAUUGACCCACUGCGGAACCGAAAGGUAAAAGGCGAUGAGUAUUGACUCAAAUGGAAAUGGGGAGUUUGCCGUUAAAACUACAGGGGUGCGACCUUGGACACAGCUGAUUCGUUUGGUCAGAGGUCCUUCAAUUUCAGGACCAGAUGUUGCGAUGAAAAUGAAGAGGAAGGGUCCACCAACCGCAGGCAAUCAAAUGGAUGUGUGUUCCGUAAAUAUUUGUUUGUUUUCCUUUGUCGGCCGUGCAGAUCUCAGUGGAUAAUUAGUCAGGCCCAUCACCACCAUAUGUCCGACGAAAACCAUUCGUAAAUAGUUAAAUUACCUUUUUGCCAAAUUCGAUUCAGCCAUCUGACGGCGAAAGCGAGAAUAGGUAAAACUAUUUGUUUAACAGUGACCUGAUAAUUAUUAGUUAUAUUUAACAAAUAUUAGU